rnacentral:rRNA from 1 species
UGGGGGAUAUUGCACAAUGGGCGAAAGCCUGAUGCAGCGACGCCGCGUGGGGGAUGAAGGCCUUCGGGUUGUAAACUUCUUUUGCUCUGAACAAGGCGCACCAUGGGGUGUGUUGAGUGUAGGGGUUGAUUAGCGCCGGCUAACUACGUGCCAGCAGCCGCGGUAAUACGUAGGGCGCGAGCGUUGUCCGGAAUUAUUGGGCGUAAAGGGCUUGUAGGUGGCUGGUUGCGUCUGUCGUGAAAGCUCAUGGCUUAACUGGGGGUUUGCGGUGGGUACGGGCUGGCUUGAGUGCAGUAGGUGAGGCUGGAAUUCCUGGUGUAGCGGUGGAAUGCGCAGAUAUCAGGAGGAAUACCGGUGGCGAAGGCGGGUCUCUGGGCUGUUACUGACACUGAGGAGCGAAAGCAUGGGGAGCGAACAGG